rnacentral:rRNA from 1 species
CCGAGUUUACAACUCCCAAACCCAAUGUGAACGUUACCAAACUGUUGCCUCGGCGGGAUCUCUGCCCCGGGUGCGUCGCAGCCCCGGACCAAGGCGCCCGCCGGAGGACCAACCAAAACUCUUUUUGUAUACCCCCUCGCGGGUUUUUUAUAAUCUGAGCCUUCUCGGCGCCUCUCGUAGGCGUUUCGAAAAUGAAUCAAAACUUUCAACAACGGAUCUCUUGGUUCUGGCAUCGAUGAAGAACGCAGCGAAAUGCGAUAAGUAAUGUGAAUUGCAGAAUUCAGUGAAUCAUCGAAUCUUUGAACGCACAUUGCGCCCGCCAGUAUUCUGGCGGGCAUGCCUGUCCGAGCGUCAUUUCAACCCUCGAACCCCUCCGGGGGGUCGGCGUUGGGGAUCGGCCCUGCCUCUUGGCGGUGGCCGUCUCCGAAAUACAGUGGCGGUCUCGCCGCAGCCUCUCCUGCGCAGUAGUUUGCACACUCGCAUCGGGAGCGCGGCGCGUCCACAGCCGUUAAACACCCAACUUCUGAAAUGUUGACCUCGGAUCAGGUAGGAAUACCCGCUGAACUUAAGCAUAUCAAAAGCCCGGAGGAA